AACGCGAAGAACCUUACCUGGGUUUGACAUCCUCUGAAGUUAGUAGAGAUAUUAAUGGCCCGCAAGGGACAGAGAGACAGGUGCUGCAUGGCUGUCGUCAGCUCGUGUUGUGAAAUGUUGGGUUAAGUCCCGCAACGAGCGCAACCCCUGUCUUUGGUUGCCAACAUUUAAGGUGGGCACUCCAAAGAGACUGCCGUCGUUAAGACGGAGGAAGGUGGGGAUGACGUCAAGUCCUCAUGGCCCUUAUAUCCAGGGCGACACACGUGAUACAAUGGUAGGUACAGAGGGUAGCGAAGUAGCGAUACGGAGCCAAUCUCAAAAAGCCUAUCUCAGUUCGGAUUGGAGUCUGCAACUCGACUCCAUGAAGUUGGAAUUGCUAGUAAUCGCGGAUCAGCACGCCGCGGUGAAUACGUUCCCGGGCCUUGUACACACCGCACGA
rnacentral:rRNA from 1 species